AACGUCCUUAUCGGGGUCGAGCGUUGGUUCCGUGAUCGAAAAGUGAGAGCUGCGUUGCUGGCACCCUAACUACAACACAUGAUCACCAACAACUAACAUUUGUUCGGUGAAAUUUUUGGAAUA